rnacentral:tRNA from 1 species
UGCCCCCUCGUUCAAUGGCAGGACAGCAGAUUCUGGAUCUGCUUAUCGGGGUUCGAGUCCCUGGGGGGCAGCCA